UACGAAGGGUGCAAGCGUUACUCGGAAUUACUGGGCGUAAAGCGUGCGUAGGUGGUUUGUUAAGUCUGUUGUGAAAGCCCCGGGCUCACCUGGGAAUGGCAAUGGAUACUGGCAGGCUAGAGUGCGGUAGAGGGUAGUGGAAUUCCCGGUGUAGCGGUGAAAUGCGUAGAGAUCGGGAGGAACACCAGUGGCGAAGGCGGCUACCUGGACCAGCACUGACACUGAGGCACGAAAGCGUGGGGAGCAAACAGG
rnacentral:rRNA from 1 species